AUUGAACGCUGGCGGCAGGCUUAACACAUGCAAGUCGAGCGAGCGGCGGACGGGUGAGUACUGUCUGGGAAACUGCCUGAUGGAGGGGGAUCACUACUGGAAACUGUAGCUAAUACCGCAUACCAUCAGAUGUGCCCAUAUGGGAUUAGCUUGUUGGUGGGGUAAUGGCUCACCUAGGCGACGAUCCCUAGCUGGUCUGAGAGGAUGACCAGCCACACUGGAAAUGAGACACGGUCGAGACUCCGACGGGAGGCAGCAGUGGGGAAGAUUGCACAAUGGGCGCAAGCCUGAUGCAGCCAUGCCGCGUGUGUGAAGAAGGCCUUCGGGUUGUAAAGCACUUUCAGCGAGGAGGCGUUACUCGCAGAAGAAGCACCGGCUAACUCCGUGCCAGCAGCCGCGGUAAUAC
rnacentral:rRNA from 1 species